UAGCAUUUCCUCGCUUGAGCAUCGCAGUAAUUUUUGUACCCUUUGGUCUCCCACAGCUGGUAUACCAAAAGAAAACGCCAGCACAAAACCCAGCCAAGCUCCUUGGAAAUGUAAAUAGACCGGAACCACUGGUGUCCUCUUAACACAGCAUCAAUCACUGCUGGGUGCUGGAAGUGGCAGCACAUUCGUUGCAGUCCAGGCAGCCAUUGCGGGCAGCAGAUGGAGAGGGUUUAAGACCUUGUAGCACUGUUUUGAAGCUUCUCUGCAGAAGAUGGAGCACAGAUGGAGUGUGCUUUGACCUGCUCACUCAGUUUACAGUAGGUUCAGUGUCUCGGUGUUCAGAGUGCCAUGGGGAGUAAAUAUGCUGAGUGGGAUGCAGUCCCUGCCCAAAGAUUGAGCCAGAGAAGAGACUGCAAGAAGAGACCAAGACUACCAAGUGUCUCCCACCUGGCAAGCAAGUAAAGAGGGACGUAAGAAGAUCAGAGGCACCACAAAAUGCCAUCAGGUAUUUUCAACCAUUCUGUUCAGCUGCUGUCUAAACAUAAAAGACAUAAAGGAAAGACAUAAACUGGGCAAGGGGUCGG
rnacentral:lncRNA from 1 species